AGAGGGUGAGAAUCCCGUCUUUGACCGGCCGGCCACGCCCGUGUGAAGCUCCUUCGACGAGUCGAGUUGUUUGGGAAUGCAGCUCUAAAUGGGUGGUAAAUUUCAUCUAAAGCUAAAUACUGGUCGGAGACCGAUAGCGCACAAGUAGAGUGAUCGAAAGAUGAAAAGCACUUUGAAAAGAGAGUUAAACAGCAUGUGAAAUUGUUGAAAGGGAAGCGCUUGCGACCAGAGUCGUGUGCGGGGGCUCAGCGGGCAUUCUUUGCCCGUGCACUCCCCCGCGGUCGGGCCAGCGUCGGUUUUGACGGCCGGUCAAAGGCCCCCGGAAUGUGUCGCCUCUCGGGGCGUCUUAUAGCCGGGGGUGCAAUGCGGCC
rnacentral:rRNA from 1 species